rnacentral:rRNA from 1 species
UACAGAGGUCUCGAGCGUUGUUCGGAUUCAUUGGGCGUAAAGGGCGCGUAGGCGGCGGGGUAAGUCUGGUGUGAAAUCUCGGAGCUCAACUCCGAAAUUGCACUGGAUACUGCUCUGCUAGAGGGCUGGAGAGGAGAUCGGAAUUCACGGUGUAGCAGUGAAAUGCGUAGAUAUCGUGAGGAAGACCAGUGGCGAAGGCGGAU